rnacentral:lncRNA from 1 species
CUUUUCUCAUCCUGUGGGAUUUUUGCAGAUACUCUGUAGAAUAACUGCAGCUCUUGGCUGUUGGUUUGAGGCUUUUCCAUCCCUUGGGCCUGGUGGUGAUGUUGUUAGUGUGUGAGGAGAGCUUGCAGCAAGCAGGGAAAGGGCCUGGAGCCCCUCGCAGCACUCUGCUUUCUGGGGAGAAAGGUCUCCAAAUAUUAGUGGCAGAGCCCAGUCGAAGGGGAUUUCCUUUGGAAGGACUGGGCAAAGUGGAUUAGUUCAGGGUGAGGGAAGGCACGAAGAGAAGGCGGAGGUCCUGCUCGCUCACAUGGCAAAUAAGCCCACGGCGACUGUGGUGGCGAUGAAGCCGAGCGCCAGGAGCCACCGCACCAGGGGAGAGGUGGUCAGCAUGUCUGCCUGCAUCCUGCUUGUCCUCUCACUCUCCUUCCCAGCUGCUGGACCGUUUUCAUGCGAUUUGUUAACACUCCUUGUGCGAAGCUCUGCCUUUGGCUGUACAGCAUGACCGUUCUCCUGGCUCUUGGACACCAGCUUCUGC